rnacentral:rRNA from 1 species
AGUAAAAGUCGUAACAAGGUUUCUGUAGGUGAACCUGCAGAAGGAUCAUUAGUGAAGAUUUGGGCAGGCCAUACGGACGCCACAAAGUGUCCCUGGCCGCCUACACCCACUAUACAUCCACAAACCCGUGUGCACUGUCCUUGGAAAGGGCAUUUGGAGAGAAAAAGGAAGAGAGAAGCGAGAACAGUGCGAUCCGUCGCGUUGGGCGUUGAUCUCUGGCUUGGUCUCUCUGAGGCCCUUUCCUCGCUACAAACUCGAAUGGUUAGUAUGAACGUGGAACUUGGUUGGACCGUCACUGGCCAACAAACUAUACACAACUUUCGACAACGGAUCUCUUGGUUCUCCCAUCGAUGAAGAACGCAGCGAAACGCGAUAGGUAAUGUGAAUUGCAGAAUUCCGUGAAUCAUCGAAUCUUUGAACGCACCUUGCGCUCUAUGGCAAUCCGUAGAGCAUGCCUGUUUGAGUGCCAUGAAAUCUCCCACCCCAAGCGGUUUUUAAAUGAAACGGCUUGGCGGAUGGGGUCUGGAUGGGUGCCUCUGCCUGCGCUACCUAGCACAGGCUCGCCCGAAAUGCAUGAGCGCCUUGAGACACUUUGCAUCCGCCUCUCUGUUUGGGGAGGAGGCGGCCAAGCAAUGUUUUUUCUCCUGGCAUGGCAUGAUACGUCAUUUGCUAUGUCACCUAAAGGAGGAAGGUUGGUUGUGUCUGCUUGUGCCUUCAAACUUGCCUCUGUGGCACAUCCCAAUUUUCCCUUCUGGGUCUCAAAUAAGGUAGGAUUCACCCGCUUGAAUUUAACAAAUUAAUAAGCGGAAGAAAAUUAUUAUUGAAUUUCCGGGCCCCCC